UCAUUACACCACAUGGUUUGACUGGGGCAGUCAUAGAUUCGGAAUAUCAUUGCCUGCCCAGGACUGCUACAAUAUGCAAAAUCAGUUUAUUGAUUAUGAUCCAUAAAGGUCCUCGAGUUAAAAUAGCGAGAAUCCCAAAGAUGUACAGCAUCAAGUCAUGGUUUGGAAGGAAGGACUGUGUUUCAUACAUUAACUCUCCUUGACAUCUGGCAACCUUUAAAACAAAAAUCCUUUUGGUUUCAUUCCCACUUUUCAAGUUUGACAUUAAUGGACACUGCACUGAAAGUUCAAAGUGAUCAUAAGUUUUUUUUUUUACAGAUUAAUUAUUCAUGGAUAGAUAUACUACUCCACAGUCUGAAACCACAUUUCCAAUACCCUAAAGUGAGCUAGGCAGACAUGUACUAUGUCCUUGGAUAAGGUAUUGCCAUACUACAUAUUCCAGUCCUUACUAGCAGGUCACAAAUCAAAUUUCAAUGAGUUGCUGGAUGUAUCGUUGUUCCUCCCCAAACUUACACUCUCUUAAUCCGAAAGGCUGCUCUAACUGCCUCUACCUAGGCCCUUGAAGGGUCCAUGGUGGGACAGGCAGGCAUGAAGGAGCCACACCUGUGAAACUCCUCUGGAAACCUUAGUUUAGUUUAGAGAUACAGCGCGGAAACGGGACCUUUGGCCCACUGAGACCACGCUGACCAGUGAUCCCCACAUAUCCUACAAACAUUAGGGACAAUUUACACUUAUACCAAGCAAAUUAACCUACAAACCUGUAUGUCUUUGGAGUGUGGGAGGAAACCGGAGAUCUCGGAGAAAACUCACUCAGUCACGGGGAGAACGAACAAACUCGAUACAGACAGCACCCGAAGUCGGGAUCGAACCUGGGUCUAUGUCGAUGCAACAGCUGUAAGGUUUACUCUAGCCACGUGUCCAUCUUUACCACGUGUCAGAGGUUUUUAAAAAAGUAUUUGAAUGUCGCCAAUAUUCAGCAGCUUUUAAUACUU